GGUUAAGCGACUAAGCGUACACGGUGGAUGCCCUGGCAGUCAGAGGCGAUGAAGGGCGUACUAAUCUGCGAUAAGCGCCGGUAAGGUGAUAUGAACCGUUAUAACCGGCGAUACCCGAAUGGGGAAACCCAGUGUGAUUCGUCACACUAUCAUUAACUGAAUCCAUAGGUUAAUGAGGCGAACCGGGGGAACUGAAACAUCUAAGUACCCCGAGGAAAAGAAAUCAACCGAGAUUCCCCCAGUAGCGGCGAGCGAACGGGGAGGAGCCCAGAGCCUGAAUCAGCAUGUGUGUUAGUGGAAGCGUCUGGAAAGGCGCGCGAUACAGGGUGACAGCCCCGUACACAAAAGCGCAUGUGCUGUGAGCUCGAUGAGUAGGGCGGGACACGUGGUAUCCUGUCUGAAUAUGGGGGGACCAUCCUCCAAGGCUAAAUACUCCUGACUGACCGAUAGUGAACCAGUACCGUGAGGGAAAGGCGAAAAGAACCCCGGCGAGGGGAGUGAAAAAGAACCUGAAACCGUGUACGUACAAGCAGUGGGAGCACCCUUUGGGUGUGACUGCGUACCUUUUGUAUAAUGGGUCAGCGACUUAUAUUCUGUAGCAAGGUUAACCGAAUAGGGGAGCCGGAGGGAAACCGAGUCUUAACCGGGCGUUAAGUUGCAGGGUAUAGACCCGAAACCCGGUGAUCUAGCCAUGGGCAGGUUGAAGGUUGGGUAACACUAACUGGAGGACCGAACCGACUAAUGUUGAAAAAUUAGCGGAUGACCUGUGGCUGGGGGUGAAAGGCCAAUCAAACCGGGAGAUAGCUGGUUCUCCCCGAAAGCUAUUUAGGUAGCGCCUCGUGAAUUCAUCUCCGGGGGUAGAGCACUGUUUCGGCUAGGGGGCCAUCCCGGCUUACCAACCCGAUGCAAACUGCGAAUACCGGAGAAUGUUAUCACGGGAGACACACGGCGGGUGCUAACGUCCGUCGUGAAGAGGGAAACAACCCAGACCGCCAGCUAAGGUCCCAAAGUCAUGGUUAAGUGGGAAACGAUGUGGGAAGGCCCAGACAGCCAGGAUGUUGGCUUAGAAGCAGCCAUCAUUUAAAGAAAGCGUAAUAGCUCACUGGUCGAGUCGGCCUGCGCGGAAGAUGUAACGGGGCUAAACCAUGCACCGAAGCUGCGGCAGCGACGCUUAUGCGUUGUUGGGUAGGGGAGCGUUCUGUAAGCCUGCGAAGGUGGCCUGUGAGGGUUGCUGGAGGUAUCAGAAGUGCGAAUGCUGACAUAAGUAACGAUAAAGCGGGUGAAAAGCCCGCUCGCCGGAAGACCAAGGGUUCCUGUCCAACGUUAAUCGGGGCAGGGUGAGUCGACCCCUAAGGCGAGGCCGAAAGGCGUAGUCGAUGGGAAACGGGUUAAUAUUCCCGUACUUGGUGUUACUGCGAAGGGGGGACGGAGAAGGCUAUGUUGGCCGGGCGACGGUUGUCCCGGUUUAAGCGUGUAGGUGUGUGUUCCAGGUAAAUCCGGUUCACUUUAACACUGAGGCGUGACGACGAGGCACUACGGUGCUGAAGCAACAAAUGCCCUGCUUCCAGGAAAAGCCUCUAAGCAUCAGGUAACAUCAAAUCGUACCCCAAACCGACACAGGUGGUCAGGUAGAGAAUACCAAGGCGCUUGAGAGAACUCGGGUGAAGGAACUAGGCAAAAUGGUGCCGUAACUUCGGGAGAAGGCACGCUGACACGUAGGUGAAGUGAUUUACUCAUGGAGCUGAAGUCAGUCGAAGAUACCAGCUGGCUGCAACUGUUUAUUAAAAACACAGCACUGUGCAAACACGAAAGUGGACGUAUACGGUGUGACGCCUGCCCGGUGCCGGAAGGUUAAUUGAUGGGGUCAGCGCAAGCGAAGCUCCUGAUCGAAGCCCCGGUAAACGGCGGCCGUAACUAUAACGGUCCUAAGGUAGCGAAAUUCCUUGUCGGGUAAGUUCCGACCUGCACGAAUGGCGUAAUGAUGGCCAGGCUGUCUCCACCCGAGACUCAGUGAAAUUGAACUCGCUGUGAAGAUGCAGUGUACCCGCGGCAAGACGGAAAGACCCCGUGAACCUUUACUAUAGCUUGACACUGAACAUUGAGCCUUGAUGUGUAGGAUAGGUGGGAGGCUUUGAAGUGUGGACGCCAGUCUGCAUGGAGCCGACCUUGAAAUACCACCCUUUAAUGUUUGAUGUUCUAACGUGGACCCGUUACCCGGGUUGCGGACAGUGUCUGGUGGGUAGUUUGACUGGGGCGGUCUCCUCCUAAAGAGUAACGGAGGAGCACGAAGGUUGGCUAAUCCUGGUCGGACAUCAGGAGGUUAGUGCAAUGGCAUAAGCCAGCUUGACUGCGAGCGUGACGGCGCGAGCAGGUGCGAAAGCAGGUCAUAGUGAUCCGGUGGUUCUGAAUGGAAGGGCCAUCGCUCAACGGAUAAAAGGUACUCCGGGGAUAACAGGCUGAUACCGCCCAAGAGUUCAUAUCGACGGCGGUGUUUGGCACCUCGAUGUCGGCUCAUCACAUCCUGGGGCUGAAGUAGGUCCCAAGGGUAUGGCUGUUCGCCAUUUAAAGUGGUACGCGAGCUGGGUUUAGAACGUCGUGAGACAGUUCGGUCCCUAUCUGCCGUGGGCGCUGGAGAACUGAGGGGGGCUGCUCCUAGUACGAGAGGACCGGAGUGGACGCAUCACUGGUGUUCGGGUUGUCAUGCCAAUGGCACUGCCCGGUAGCUAAAUGCGGAAGAGAUAAGUGCUGAAAGCAUCUAAGCACGAAACUUGCCCCGA
rnacentral:rRNA from 1 species